rnacentral:ncRNA from 1 species
CCCUUUGGUCCUAGGCGUACUAUUGAUUUUAGCUAUAUAUAUACAUGCCAGCCUCCCCGCCCCUGUGAAUAACGCCCACUUCCUGGCCCACCCACUUUAGGAGCUGGUAUCAGGCCCGGGCCCUAAUGGCCCUGCCCAAAACACCUAGUCCAUGCCACACCCCCACUGGGCCCCAGCAGUAAGAAACACUAAGCAAUGAGCCCUCACUUGACUUGAUAAUAGCUACUUCCAUACUUAGGGCCGGUAGACCCCGUGCCAGCCGCCGCGGUUAAACGGGGGGCCCAAAACAAUAUCUAUCGGCGCAAAGUGUGAUCAGAGUGACUAUGAAUAACUGGGGCCUUAGAACUAAAGCACCGCUGUAGAACGCUACAUGCUAUUUGGAAUCAUAACUAACCCCCCACUUAUUCAUAAACUUCAUUUCACGACAGCUGAGACACAAACUAGGAUUAGAUACCCUACUAUGCUCAGCCAUAAACUAUGGUGAAGCCCCCUUUCACCCGCCAGAGAAUUACAGGUAAACAACUUAAAACUCAAAAGACUUGACAGUAUCUCACACCAACCUAGAGGAGCCUGUCCUACAACCGAUAAUCCACGAUUUACCUCACCCACCUUUGCAGUAACAGCCUAUAUACCUCCGUCGCCAGCCCGCCUGACAACAGCAUUGAAAGCGGGUGUAAUAGCUUCGCCACUUAUACGACAGGUCAAGGUGUAGCUAAUAGGUCGGGCAGAGAUGGGCUACAUUUUCUACCCUAGAACACACCUAUAAUGCCAUGAAAGAGGCACUGAAAGGUGGAUUUAGCAGUAAGAGGGGCAAGACCAAGCCCCCCUGAAGUUUGCUCUGAGAUU